rnacentral:rRNA from 1 species
AUGAAACCUCAAGCCAGCCCUGGCCUAGAUGGAUUUGGGCCUGCAUUCUACCGUACCUUUUGGCCCACCAUCAAAAAUCUUGUGCUUCCCUUCUUCGCCCAAUUCCAUCAAGGCACGGCCGACACAGAACGCGUAAACCAGGCUCACGUCAUCCUUCUUCCAAAAAAAGACCUACCUACAUCGCCGGAUGCUUUCCGACCUAUCUUGCUCCAAAACUGCCCAAUCAAGGCUGUUGCCAAAGUGCUGACCACUCGUCUAAAGCCCUUCAUUCCUCUGUUGGUCCAUGGAAAUCAGACAGGGUUUAUCCCAGGGAGGAAUAUUGCUGAGAACUACAUCUUUGCCGCCGAUCUUAUCAGCUCUUGCCAUACUCUAAAAAACCCCACUAUGGUGUUCAAGCUAGAUUUCAGAAAAGCCUUCGACUCUGUUGCAGGGCCCACACUUGACAAGAUCCUCCUCACCCGGGGUUUUCCCCCCAUCUUUCGCAGAUGGAUCCAGAACAUCCUUGUUAUAGGAAAAACUGCCAUUCUUCUCAAUGGAGUCCCAGGAAACUGGAUCGAUUGCAAAAGUGGCCUACGUCAGGGCGACCCAAUCUCACCCUACCUCUUUCUCAUUGUAGCAGACCUGCUCCAGCAACUCUCCUCAGACACGCACAUGCCUCGCUCCACCACCCCAUCUUCUCUCAUCUCCCCCUACCGUUCUCCAGUACGCAGACGAUACGCUAAUCGUUGCUGCCGCCUCGCCCGAUGCCGUCGCUGCUCUAAGGAUAAUCCUAACCAACUUUGCAAUGCUACUAGGCUAACCAUCAACUUCUCCAAAACCACGCUCGCAACCCUACACACUGAUAACACCGUUGCUAACAGCAUAGCCACUGCCAUGGGAUGCUCUCGCGCGCCCUCCCCCCAAACCUACCUAGGCCUCCUCUCUCCCCUACUCAGCCUCCUUCCAAUGCCUUCGACCCCAUACUAG